AUGCGGCGGUGCCGGGGCGCGGGGCUGGCGGCGCUGGCCGCGGUGCUCCUGGUGGCUGUGGUCAGAGCCCAGGUGCAGCAGGAGCCGUCGGCAGAGACCACCGAGGGCACCAGCAUCAGCAUCAACUGCUCACACCCCAACAACAGUUCACCGAGUACAUCUACUGGUACCGUCAGCUCCCGGGCCGAGGCCCCGCAUUCCUCGUGAGCACUCUUAAAGAUUCCAAAAAGCUGACGGACCCGCCGGGGCGGCUGUCGGUGGCGGCAGACCGCCGGUCCAGCGCCCUGUGGCUCGCCCGGCCCCGGCGCGGGGACGCGGCGGUGUAUUACUGCGCCCUGAGAGACACGGGGAGAGGAGCCGGGGCUGCGGCCGGGCACGAACCGCCGCGGGCGGGGCCGGGCCUGGAGGCGGGCAGCAGAGAUCCUCCUGCCCACGGGCAGCCCUCGGUCCUGCCGCAGGGACCGGCCACUGCUGACACGGGACAUGCAGGGCCUCUUCUCGGGCGUCUGA